AGGACGAACGCUGGCGGCGCGCUUAACACAUGCAAGUCGAGCGAGAACCAGGCCUUCGGGCCUGGGGAAAGCGGCGAACGGGUGAGUAACACGUGGGUAACCCACCCUUGGUACCGGGAUAGCCCGAGGAAACUCGGAUUAAUACCGGAUGGCCCAACAGCUUCUCGGAGCGGUUGGAAAAGGUAGCUUCGGCCUCCGACCAAGGACGGGCCCGCGGUGGAUUAGCUUGUUGGUGAGGUAACGGCUCACCAAGGCUUCGAUCCAUAGCUGGUCUGAGAGGACGAUCAGCCACACUGGGACUGAGACACGGCCCAGACUCCUACGGGAGGCAGCAGUGGGGAAUCUUGCGCAAUGGGCGAAAGCCUGACGCAGCGACGCCGCGUGGGGGAGAAGGCUUUCGGGUGUAAACCCCUUUCAGGAAGGACGAAGCCACUCGGGUUAAUAGCCCAGAGGGUGACGGUACUUCCAGAAGAAGCCCCGGCUAACUACGCGCCAGCAGCCGCGGUAA
rnacentral:rRNA from 1 species